rnacentral:rRNA from 1 species
GACGUAGGGCGCGAGCGUUGUCCGGAUUUAUUGGGCGUAAAGAGCUCGUAGGCGGCUUGUCGCGUCGACUGUGAAAACCCGCGGCUCAACCGUGUGGCGGGCAGUUGAUACGGGCAGGCUAGAGUUCGGUAGGGGAGACUGGAAUUCCUGGUGUAGCGGUGAAAUGCGCAGAUAUCAGGAGGAACACCGGUGGCGAAGGCGGGGUCUCUGGG